GGAUGAACGCUAGCGGCAGGCUUAACACAUGCAAGUCGAGGGGUAACAGGGAAGAGCUUGCUUUUCUGCUGACGACCGGCGCACGGGUGCGUAACGCGUAUAGAACCUACCUUUUACAGGGGAAUAGCCCAGAGAAAUUUGGAUUAAUGCCCCAUAGUAUUAUUGAAUGGCAUCAUUUAAUAAUUAAACAUUUAUGGGUAAAAGAUGGCUAUGCGUUCUAUUAGCUAGAUGGUAAGGUAACGGCUUACCAUGGCAACGAUAGAUAGGGGUCCUGAGAGGGAGAUCCCCCACACUGGUACUGAGACACGGACCAGACUCCUACGGGAGGCAGCAGUGAGGAAUAUUGGACAAUGGAGGCAACUCUGAUCCAGCCAUGCCGCGUGCAGGAAGACGGUCCUAUGGAUUGUAAACUGCUUUUAUAUAGGAAGAAACCUUUCCACGUGUGGAAAGCUGACGGUACUAUAAGAAUAAGCACCGGCUAACUCCGUGCCAGCAGCCGCGGUAAUACGGAGGGUGCAAGCGUUAUCCGGAAUCAUUGGGUUUAAAGGGUCCGUAGGCGGACUAAUAAGUCAGGGGUGAAAUCCAACAGCUUAACUGUUGAACUGCCUUUGAUACUGUUAGUCUUGAGUUAUAUGGAAGUAGAUAGAAUAUGUAGUGUAGCGGUGAAAUGCUUAGAGAUUACAUAGAAUACCGAUUGCGAAGGCAGUCUACUACGUAUA
rnacentral:rRNA from 1 species